AUACGGAGGGGGCUAGCGUUGUUCGGAAUUACUGGGCGUAAAGCGCACGUAGGCGGAUUAAAAAGUUAGAGGUGAAAUCCCAGGGCUUAACCCUGGAACUGCCUUUAAAACUAGUAGUCUAGAGUUCGAGAGAGGUGAGUGGAAUUCCAAGUGUAGGGGUGAAAUUCGUAGAUAUUUGGAGGAACACCAGUGGCGAAGGCGGCUCACUGGCUCGAUACUGACGCUGAGGUGCGAAAGCGUGGGGAGCAAACAGGAUUAGAAACCCCGGUAGUCC
rnacentral:rRNA from 1 species